rnacentral:lncRNA from 1 species
ACCUCUCCCCAAUGCUUCCUAGGCCUCCCUCUACCCCGCCGACCACCAACAAUCUCCAGCCGCUCGCAGCUCCUCACCGGGGCAUCGGGACCCCUCCCACAGUGAGACUUUUUUUCGCAGAUAAUUUAGGCUAGAAGUAUGCAAGCAGAGUUCUUUCCUUUCUUGAAUUAUUCGGAAAGAGUUUUAAGUUAUUUACACGUGAAUUUUUACAUUGUUACUUGUUAGAAAUAUUAAUUCUUCUAUGACUUCUACACAUUUUCAGAAAACACUUGAAAUGCAAGCUUGUUAUCGCAAG